rnacentral:rRNA from 1 species
UACGUAGGGGGCAAGCGUUGUCCGGAUUUAUUGGGCGUAAAGAGCGUGUAGGCGGCUUGGUAGGUCUCGCGUCAAAACCUGAGGCUCAACCUCAGUUCGCGUGGGAAACCACCUAGCUAGAGUCCGGAAGAGGAGAACGGAAUUCCCAGUGUAGCGGUGAAAUGCGCAGAUAUUGGGAAGAACACCAGUGGCGAAGGCGGUUCUCUGGGACGGUACUGACGCUGAGACGCGAAAGCGUGGGUAGCGAACAGG